rnacentral:rRNA from 1 species
UAGCAUAAUCAUUUGUUUCUUAAUUAGGGGCUGGAAUGAAUGGUUAAACAAAAAACAUUUUCUUAAAUUUAAAUUAGUAAUUUAAAUUUCAAAUAAGAAUAUUUGAGUAAAAUAAGGGGACGAUAAGACCCUAAAAGCUUAUUUUUAAUUAAAUUAAAUAUUUUAUUUUAAAUUAUUAAAUAUAGGAGAAAUUAACUGGGGUAGUUAGCUUAUGUAAACUAAGUUUAAUAUAACACACAAACUGGUAUUUGGUCUUUUAUAUAAGGAAAAUUGGACGAGUUACUUUAGGGAUAACAGCGUAAUAUUUUUGGAGAGAUCUUAUCUAUAAAAAUGAUUGCGACCUCGAUGUUGAAUUAAGAUAUCUUUAUGAUGAAGAAGGCAUAAAAGAAGGUUUGUUCAACCUUUAAAUUUUUACAUGAAUU